rnacentral:rRNA from 1 species
GAUGAACGCUGGCGGCGUGCCUAAUACAUGCAAGUCGAGCGAACAGACCAGGAGCUUGCUCCUCUGACGUUAGCGGCGGACGGGUGAGUAACACGUGGAUAAUCUACCUAUAAGACUGGGAUAACUUCGGGAAACCGGAGCUAAUACCGGAUAAUAUAUUGAACCGCAUGGUUCAAUAGUGAAAGACGGUUUUGCUGUCCCUUCUCGAUGGAUCCGGGCUGCAUUAGCUAGUUGGGAGGGUAACGGCUUACCAAGGCAACCAUGCGUAGCCGAUCUGCGAGGGGGGUCGGCCACCCUGGAACGGAGACGCGGUCCAGACCACUACGGGAGGCAGCAGUAGGGAAUCGUCCGCAAUAGGCGGGAGCAUGGCGGAGCAACGCCGCGUGAGUGAUAAAAGUCUUCGGAUCGGAAAACUCUGUUAUUAGGGAAGAACAAAUGUGUAAGUAACUAUGCACGUCUUGACGGUACCUAAUCAGAAAGCCACGGCUAACUACGUG